ACUUCUUUUAUCCUCUUCUCCUCCUCUUUUUACAUAACCUACGUUUUUACAGAAGAAAAAAAAACGACGAAACCUAAGUAAAAAUCUAGGGCAAUACCUAAAUCUCAUGUGACGGCCAUUUGAUUGGGUGCGGAGAAACGAGUUCUUGUGAAAGAAACGACUAAUCUUAUUCGUUAAUCGGGUGCGGGCAAAUUUGAUUGAAGAUUAAAGAUGUUGAGCAGAAUAACGUCGAGAUUUGCACAAGGAAAAAAGAUGAAUAAUAAGAAACGCAAAGGUAAAGGUCCAAUGGAGCCUGAAAUAGACCCUAAUGUUGGAGAUUUGGAAGUUCCAGAUACCGGGUUCGAUGAAGAUAGCGAAGAUGAAACAACACCGUCCGUGGUAUCCCUAGAUAACUACAAUUGCCUGGAAGAUAGUGACAAACACGCUUCUACAGAUAUUACAUAUUCAAGCGAUCCAAAAUUCAGGAUGGGGACGUUUAUUAGCCAUGGAAAUAGGAGAAGCAUCACACCCAGUGAUUGAUUAUCUUGUUGAACGUUGGUGGGAUACAACGCAUACUUUUCACUUCCCUUUUGGUGAAAUGGGAUUCACGCCGCUUGAUUGGGUAGUGUUGACAGGAUUGAGUAUUGGAAUUGGGGAUGAUGUUCCGUAUAACCCAGUCAAGUACAAAUUUGAUUAUGUCCGUGAGCAUGUUUUUCCAGAAAUAGAAGAACCCUUAGAUUAUGAAGAUCCCCCAAUCUCUGGAAAA